rnacentral:rRNA from 1 species
UACAGGGGGGGCAAGCGUUGUUCGGAAUUACUGGGCGUAAAGGGUCUGUAGGUGGCUUGCUAAGUCAGACGUGAAAUCCCUCAGCUUAACUGGGGAACUGCGUCUGAUACUGGCAAGCUUGAGUGCAGGAGAGGAACGCGGAAUUCCAGGUGUAGCGGUGAAAUGCGUAGAUAUCUGGAGGAACACCGGUGGCGAAGGCGGCGUUCUGGACUGCAACUGACACUGAGAGACGAAAGCCAGGGGAGCAAACAGG